AAUCAACGCUGGCGGCGUGCCUCAGACAUGCAAGUCGAACGAUUAAAGCUCCCUUCGGGGAGUGCAUAAAGUGGCGCACGGGUGAGUAACACGUAAGUAAUCUACCCUCGAGUGGGGAAUAACGUCCGGAAACGGACGCUAAUACCGCAUAACGCAGCGGCACCGCAAGGUGACAGUUGUUAAAGGAGCAAUUCGCUUGAGGAGGAGCUUGCGGCAGAUUAGCUAGUUGGUAAGGUAAUGGCUUACCAAGGCUACGAUCUGUAUCCGGUCUAAGAGGACGGUCGGACACACUGACACUGAAUAACGGGUCAGACUCCUACGGGAGGCAGCAGUCGGGAAUUUUGGGCAAUGGGCGAAAGCCUGACCCAGCAACGCCGCGUGAAGGAUGAAGUAUUUCGGUAUGUAAACUUCGAAAGAAUGGGAAGAAUAAAUGACGGUACCAUUUAUAAGCUCCGGCUAACUACGUGCCAGCCGCCGCUGUAA
rnacentral:rRNA from 1 species